UGGCAGUGACAACAUUACUCACCUGGAUCCAGGGAGUACACGGGUGCCUCAAAAGCACACCUACAGUAUCCUCGGAGCUGCUUUUGAUAAGCCAUGGCCCAGGACAAGAUAAAACAAAAUGAUGCAGUGAAGCAGGCUCAGGUGGUAGACAGGGAUGAACACCAGAAAACUAAGGAAUCCAAGAGAUUAGGAACGUACCUGAUAACAGUUCCAACUGUCAAGAAGAAGUUUAAAGAUAUCUCAGAUAAUACAAAGUCAGAUCCAAAUUACUGUGAUACCUCAGAGGGGCCCUUUGGUUUCGGCCCUCUCGUUUUCUCUUGUUUACAGCGUUUCAACACCAUUGAGUUCUUCCUGAUUUCGUGCUUUGUUGUGAUCUUGGCUCAUGGUAUGAUGUUUGCUCUUAUUGAUAUGAGUUUAAAAAUAUUUGAGACUCAAUUUCAAGCAACAAACUUAGAGACAUUCCUAAUGGAUUUUAGUGAUUAUUUUGCCUCUUUCUUGGUAUCAAUAUUUGUAGCACACUUUGGAGGUAGAGGGAAUAGGGCAAAAUGGGUGGCAGCUGGAAGCAUUGUAACAGCACUUUCUUCAAUUGCUUUUAUUGUUCUAUUUUUUUAUUAUGAAAUUAUAA
rnacentral:lncRNA from 1 species